AAGUCCUCAUGUUGCAUCCCUCCUUUUAAAAAAAAAAAAAAAAAACGGAUGACAUGCACUUGUGCAUUCUAGCAUUUUUUUCAUGUGUUGCGAGGGAGAUGUUUUAAUUCUUUCACAUGUAUACAACAAUUUCUCAAGCUAGACAUUUUCUUACAAAAUGAAAGUGGGCAGCAAUUUAUUUUCCUAAACCAGCAGCUACGUAAGUUGUAAUUGGGUAGCAACAGACGUUUUCAAUUUCAAAUAUGUUUUUCUCAUGAAGCAACAUUCGGGUUUUGCUAGCAAUCACCGCUUCGAUCUCGUUGUUCUGAUACGUUGUUGAAUCUGGGUUUUUCUUCAAAGUGAAGUAAGGUGGAAGAAGAGGAGUUCUUGGCAAAUAAGAUUAAACUCCAUUGUGUGCAGCAUUGGGAAGUAUUGUAGCUUGAGGAGAUUGAGGUAUGUUAAGGCUAAUCCUUUUCUUCUUUUGGCAUGUUUUAUGAUGAAUCUAGAUAUAUAUGAAAGUUAUUCCAUGAAGAUUCCGCUUUUAAUAAGCAGAGACAUCUAGGCUAUUCAUGUCCUUAUGAUAUCGUUCACGUAUGUUAUAUAUCAGAUUAGUACAACUUAUAGUAAUAAGGAUGAUAUUCAUAACGUAAUCGGAGGUGUAACGACCUUACGUCACUCUGAAGGAAGUUCUAAAGAUUUGAAGAGGGUUCCUUAAUCCUUAUGUACUUUCAUAAGAGCAGGAUAUGAGGUAGUAUGUAGAUAUACAUAGUACGUACACAGGCUUGAUUAGAGUACUUUAGUUACCACCGAGCUGGCCGGUUGGGCCGCGAUGUACCUUCAGUUACCACCAAGAUAAGCCGGAUGGAUAGAUAUGUACAUACCAUCGGGUUAUAGCCGGAUGGGAAAGCGUGCGUUACCACCGAAUUAUAGCCGGAUGAGCAAACACGUAUUUACCAUUGAGCGAUGAUCGGAUGGGCAGUUAUGCCCUCACUGUCGAGCUACGGCCGGCGGGGCAGAUAUGUCAUAUGCAUUUACCACCGGGCUACGGCAGGCUGGGCAGUUAUGCGGUUACCAUCGAGCUACAGUCGAGUAGGAAGUUAUCACUAAUUAGUGGGCAGUCAGCAUCACGACGAUGAGGUUCAGAUAGGUUGUCAGGAGGAUUGCACCAGUGGAAUUUGCUGUGUACCAGCCAGCGUGGUAAGCUCCAUGUCAUUCGAAGUUACCGGGUUAGAGUUUUGUGUAUAUGCAGUAUGAGUAGGCCGAGGCCCUGUCCCGACCGUGUUACAACUACACUUCUGUAGAUGCUUGUAGACUUGUGUGGUCAGUUUAGUAUGGAGGCCUUGUUGGCCCUUAUAUAUGUCUAUUAUGAGUUAUUACUGCUUACAGAUACAUAUACUGGCAUAGUCGGCUGGUAGCUAUUCAUGUACGCGUUGGGAUGGUCCCAUCUUGUUGAGUUAGUCAA